CUCAAACCACAAUCACAGUUGUCGGUUCCAGAAACAUCUUCUUUGGAAAAACAUGUGACAUAAGUUUCCUCAGAGUCUUCCGGAGAAUCCAGUCACACACAACUGAUAAAACCUUGUCCAGUGAGAAAAUACUUUCCUCCGUAAUUCAAGAUAAAGAAAAUUACAACCUCUGCUGUCCAUUCCAUUGCUUUUCCCUUCAGAAUCAUAAUCAGAGAAUCCUUGCAGAACGUCAUAAGUGUGCUCUCAGCUGCAAUCACCAGGAGGACUCUUCACACACGGUGAGUCCUCAUUUUAUAGAAGCCAAAGCAAUGACGUAUGCUCACCCCUCCCGCCCCCAGAAGAGAGGUUGCUGGCCAAUGAGCUUGAGCUUCGUCAUCCUUCCAAGCCCCACCGAGUUCCUUUGCUUCCCUUUCAACAACUUUGACUGAAAUGAAUAGGUUACAACCUUUAGCUUUCUGCCCCUUGGAAAACGGAAGCAUUUAGAUGUCUGUAUUAAUAUUUGGAUCUAGAGUGUUCAUGUUUUAGCACUUCCUUUUUUAAAAGGAGAAGCAGAUGUGUUGUGUUUUUAGGAACACUU
rnacentral:lncRNA from 1 species